UGGGGAAUCUUGCGCAAUGGACGAAAGUCUGACGCAGCGACGCCGCGUGGGUGAUGAAGGCCUUCGGGUUGUAAAGCCCUGUGGGGAGAGACGAAUAAGUCGGAGCCAACACCUCCGGCGAUGACGGUAUCUCCUUAGCAAGCACCGGCUAACUCUGUGCCAGCAGCCGCGGUAAGACAGAGGGUGCAAACGUUGUUCGGAAUUACUGGGCGUAAAGCGUGUGUAGGCGGCUACGAAAGUCGGAUGUGAAAUCCCCGGGCUCAACCCGGGAAGUGCACCCGAUACUGCGUGGCUUGAGUACCGGAGAGGUUGGUGGAAUUCUCGGUGUAGAGGUGAAAUUCGUAGAUAUCGAGAGGAACACCGGUGGCGAAGGCGGCCAACUGGACGAGUACUGACGCUGAGACACGAAAGCGUGGGGAGCAAACAGGAUUAGAUACCCCCGUAGUCC
rnacentral:rRNA from 1 species